GAUAGGAGAGAUACUGUGAUCAUUGAGGCAGUAUUCUCAGGGCGAGGCUUACCCAUUUGCACUUCAGGAGGGAGAUUGACCCUUGCAAUUUCCCCAAAUGUGGGAAGUCGACUGUGAAAUUUGUAGAAUGCAGGAGACGAUUGACCGGC
rnacentral:snRNA from 1 species